rnacentral:tRNA from 1 species
GUUGCUGUGGUGUAGUGGCUAUCACGUCAGUCUUACACACUGAAUGUCCCCAGUUCGAUCCUGGGCAGCAACA